rnacentral:rRNA from 1 species
GAUGAACGCUGGCGGCGUGCCUAAUACAUGCAAGUCGAGCGAACAGACGAGGAGCUUGCUCCUCUGACGUUAGCGGCGGACGGGUGAGUAACACGUGGAUAACCUACCUAUAAGACUGGGAUAACUUCGGGAAACCGGAGCUAAUACCGGAUAAUAUAUUGAACCGCAUGGUUCAAUAGUGAAAGACGGUUUUGCUGUCACUUAUAGAUGGAUCCGCGCCGCAUUAGCUAGUUGGUAAGGUAACGGCUUACCAAGGCAACGAUGCGUAGCCGACCUGAGAGGGUGAUCGGCCACACUGGAACUGAGACACGGUCCAGACUCCUAAGGGAGGCAGCAGUAGGGAAUCUUCCGCAAUGGGCGAAAGCUUGACGGAGCAACGCCGCGUGAGUGAUGGAGGUCUUCGGAUCGUAAAACUCUGUUAUUAGGGAAAAACAAAUGUGUAAGUAACUAUGCACGUCUUGACGGUACCUAAUCAGAAAGCCACGGCUAACUACGUG